GACGAACGCUGGCGGCGUGCUUAACACAUGCAAGUCGAACGGAAAGGCCCUGCUUUUGUGGGGUGCUCGAGUGGCGAACGGGUGAGUAACACGUGAGUAACCUGCCCUUGACUUUGGGAUAACUUCAGGAAACUGGGGCUAAUACCGGAUAGGAGCUCCUGCUGCAUGGUGGGGGUUGGAAAGUUUCGGCGGUUGGGGAUGGACUCGCGGCUUAUCAGCUUGUUGGUGGGGUAGUGGCUUACCAAGGCUUUGACGGGUAGCCGGCCUGAGAGGGUGACCGGCCACAUUGGGACUGAGAUACGGCCCAGACUCCUACGGGAGGCAGCAGUGGGGAAUAUUGCACAAUGGGCGGAAGCCUGAUGCAGCAACGCCGCGUGCGGGAUAACGGCCUUCGGGUUGUAAACCGCUUUCGCCUGUGACGAAGCGUGAGUGACGGUAAUGGGUAAAGAAGCACCGGCUAACUACGUGCCAGCAGCCGCGGUGAUACGUAGGGUGCGAGCGUUGUCCGGAUUUAUUGGGCGUAAAGGGCUCGUAGGUGGUUGAUCGCGUCGGAAGUGUAAUCUUGGGGCUUAACCCUGAGCGUGCUUUCGAUACGGGUUGACUUGAGGAAGGUAGGGGAGAAUGGAAUUCCUGGUGGAGCGGUGGAAUGCGCAGAUAUCAGGAGGAACACCAGUGGCGAAGGCGGUUCUCUGGGCCUUUCCUGACGCUGAGGAGCGAAAGCGUGGGGAGCGAACAGGCUUAGAUACCCUGGUAGUCCACGCUGUAAACGGUGGGUACUAGGUGUGGGGUCCAUUCCACGGGUUCCGUGCCGUAGCUAACGCUUUAAGUACCCCGCCUGGGGAGUACGGCCGCAAGGCUAAAACUCAAAGGAAUUGACGGGGCCCCGCACAAGCGGCGGAGCAUGCGGAUUAAUUCGAUGCAACGCGUAGAACCUUACCUGGGUUUGACAUGGAUCGGGAGUGCUCAGAGAUGGGUGUGCCUCUUUUGGGGUCGGUUCACAGGUGGUGCAUGGCUGUCGUCAGCUCGUGUCGUGAGAUGUUGGGUUAAGUCCCGCAACGAGCGCAACCCUUGUUCACUGUUGCCAGCACGUUAUGGUGGGGACUCAGUGGAGACCGCCGGGGUCAACUCGGAGGAAGGUGGGGAUGACGUCAAGUCAUCAUGCCCCUUAUGUCCAGGGCUUCACGCAUGCUACAAUGGCUGGUACAGAGAGUGGCGAGCCUGUGAGGGUGAGCGAAUCUCGGAAAGCCGGUCUCAGUUCGGAUUGGGGUCUGCAACUCGACCUCAUGAAGUCGGAGUCGCUAGUAAUCGCAGAUCAGCAACGCUGCGGUGAAUACGUUCCCGGGGCU
rnacentral:rRNA from 1 species